ACAAGUGAAAUGUUUAAUUACCAAGUCCAAACCAGUAAAACCCAAAGUUGAUUGGAUAUUAGUUACCAAAAAUGAUCUUUUCCAUCACAAAUAUUAUCCCAACACACAUACACACAUAAGCACUGGCAAACCAUUCACCACCAUCAUCCUCAAAAGUUAAGUUCUUGGUAUGCUGGUGGGAUUUGAAUUUAAAUAAAUAAAAAGACACACUAAUGCAAUUCUUCUGUAAUCCAAUUGUUCAUUUGUUAAAAAUAGCAUCUGUUUCCUAUUUCAAAAAUUAAGUUCAAUCAUGAAAAAAAUUUGUCGUCAAUGGUAAAACUUAUUUGGCAGACUAUCUUAGAAAAACAGUACUCUGAAAGCUUGUUCUUAAAAUACCCUGUUUAGGAACAGGAGAAUAUUUUUUUUGCAGUUUUCUCAGAAUCGGACUUCAGGGCAGCAGAUGAGGAACAAAUUCUCAAUAGAAAACAUGCCAAAACAAGAAAAUAUUCCAUGCAACUUUUCAUGAGCUCUCUCCAACUACUACAAGUGACUAAUGCACUUCAAGGAAGGAGACAAAGCACAAACAAAAAUUUCAUCAUAACAGCCUUUAAGCCAUUAUCAAAAUUAGUAUAUGUUAAAGAAUCACAAUACCAGGAUGCUGAAUGCAAAAAAUUGCACAAUAAACCUCAACAUGUGAGAAUAGUUUACUGUUGUUUCAUAUCAAAUAAAAAAGGAAACUGAAAGCAAAAUAAAGCAGGCAUGUGGUAAAAUAAGUUCUUGCCUCUUUCAAUUCUGAGCCUGGA
rnacentral:misc_RNA from 1 species